AUUGAACGCUGGCGGCAGGCCUAACACAUUCAAGUCGAGCGAGCGGCGGACGGGUGAGCAAUGCCUGGGAAUUGCCCAGUCGAGGGGGAUAACAGUUGGAAACGACUUCUAAUACCGCAUACGAUUGGAUUGCCCAGGUGGGAUUGGCUAGUUGGUGAGGGAAUGGCUCACCAAGGCGACGAUCCCUAGCUGGUCUGAGAGGAUGAUCAGACACACUGGAACUGAGACACGGUCCAGACUCCUACGAGAGGCAGCAGUGGGGAAUAUUGCACAAUGGGGGAAACCCUGGUGCAGCCAUGCCGCGUUUGUGAAGAAGGCCUUCGGGUUUUAAAGCACUUUCAGCGAGGAGGCGUUACUCGCAGAAGAAGCACCGGCUAACUCCGUGCCAGCCGCCACGGUAAUAC
rnacentral:rRNA from 1 species